AUUGAACGCUGGCGGCAUGCUUUACACAUGCAAGUCGGACGGCAGCACAGAGAAGCUUGCUUCUUGGGUGGCGAGUGGCGAACGGGUGAGUAAUAUAUCGGAACGUACCGAGUAAUGGGGGAUAACUAAUCGAAAGAUUAGCUAAUACCGCAUAUUCUCUGAGGAGGAAAGCAGGGGACCUUCGGGCCUUGCGUUAUUCGAGCGGCCGAUAUCUGAUUAGCUAGUUGGUGGGGUAAAGGCCUACCAAGGCGACGAUCAGUAGCGGGUCUGAGAGGAUGAUCCGCCACACUGGGACUGAGACACGGCCCAGACUCCUACGGGAGGCAGCAGUGGGGAAUUUUGGACAAAGGGCGCAAGCCUGAUCCAGCCAUGCCGCGUGUCUGAAGAGGGCCUUCGGGUUGUAAAGGACUUUUGUCAGGGAAGAAAAGGCUGUUGCUAAUACCGACAGCUGAUGACGGUACCUGAAGAAUAAGCACCGGCUAACUACGUG
rnacentral:rRNA from 1 species